UUACGGCCACAUCAUGUUGAAACAUUGGUUUCCAUAUGAUCAGUGAAGUUAAGCAACAUUGAGCCUGCUCAGUACCUGGAUGGGUGACCACUUUGGAAUAACAGUAGUUGUAAU